GGAAAAACUAUCUAAACGAAUUGAAGUUCGAAGUCACGAUGCACAAAUUCCUUUUAUCUCUCUUGCUGUCGGCUGCUGUAAUGUCCAUGUUACUGGAUCAAGCAUGCAGAAUGCAUUAUGUUGCCUGUGAUGACGACGAUGAAUGUGAUUAUGACCAAUAAUACUGCGAUAGGGAUACAAAGACUUGGGACGAUGAAGAUUGUGACGGAGACGACGAAUGUAAACCUGAUCAAUAUUGUGACAACCGUAUGUGGGUAUGCCUUUCUAGGUAAUUUUUUAAUAUUUUGCAGCAUUGUCUCAUUUCUACAGAUACCAUUGGCCACCCG